CUCAAAGCUGGUUCAAACAAGGGGAAUAUGACUAUUUAAUUAAAACAAAGAAUUGUGAUGGUCCAUGUGGAUGCUGACUCAAUGUGAUUUCUGCACAGUGCUCCAAAUGUUAAAGUGAAUAAAUUCAACCAAGCAUGGGUAAACGGCAGGAGUAACUAUGACUCUCUUAAGGUAAGAAAUUCAAUUGUGUCUCUCCAAAUAAUACAAGAUUAGAUUUGCCCCAUUUACA
rnacentral:ncRNA from 1 species